AAGAGUUCAUCUGGAACCAGAACAGACCUAGAAUAGCAAAGUGAAGCAGAGAUACUAUAUAUAUGUCAGGCCUGACCUGAGAAAGACCUUCCCAAUAAAACGUGCUGCCCUCUACAAACAACAGGAAUCCAGGCUGCCCUCAGAAAACAAUAAUUAUUGGCCAUAAAGAAAUUAAGGACUGGACCUUUAGUGUCCCUGACUCCAGAAGACCUCCAUGUGCCUGUGCUGAUCAUCCUUAAAGCUUUUUUUUUUUCUGGUGGUGCUGGGGAUUGAACCCAGAGCCUUGUGCAUCCAAAGAAAGAACUCUACCACUGGGCCACAACCGCAGCCCAUCCUUGCUACUUUGACCUCAAAUAUUCCAUCCUGAUUCCUUGAGACUACAAUCCCAAACCCUAUACAUAUGUAGCCUCCCCUGCAGAUAUUCACUGAUAUCACUCUGAUUUCAGCCUGCCUUUAUAUAAACAGAAUUAAAUCUAGUCUUUCACACA